AAGGGGAUGGACGAUCGGGCCACGGCCGCCCGCUUGGAGGCGGCGGUGGGGAGGAGGCAGGCGCCGAGGCGGGAGGCCGCGGCGGAUGAGAGCCGCUCCGCCAUCUCUCUACUCAGUAGUGCUGGCUAAACAAGGAAACCUAAGCGAAGCCAGGAGACGGCGCGAUUUGGCUUUUGCGUGCCCUGAAGGCCACUGGUUUCGCACUUACAUCGUCUGACCAAUCUGGCGUGGCCAAUGAGAGAAAGACAGGUGGUCGGCGGCGUUCAAAAAAUGGAAAAAAAAUGUUUGGCUUCGAGAGGCUUCUCAGGAUUUUUUUUUAAUAUUUUUUUAUUUUUUAUUUUCAAAACUAAUCCUCCCCAAUUUAUUUUCAAAACUACUGUCCACCUCCAAAUCACCAAAGAUUUCACGACCAUUUUUGCACUGACAUCGUCUGGUAGGAAAAAUCAUCAUUUGAGCCUAUGAUUUCAUUUCUCUUUUUUUUUAUUUUUAUUUU
rnacentral:lncRNA from 1 species